CAGUGGCAGCUUGGUGGUCGUAUGUGUGGCGCCAUCUACUGGAACGUUUAGGAGUGACAUCACAUAUAUGGCGACUAAACUGCUGCAUAGGA
rnacentral:pre_miRNA from 8 species